AGUGAACGCUGGCGGUAGGCCUAACACAUGCAAGUCGAACGGCAGCACAGUAAGAGCUUGCUCUUACGGGUGGCGAGUGGCGGACGGGUGAGGAAUACAUCGGAAUCUACUUUUUCGUGGGGGAUAACGUAGGGAAACUUACGCUAAUACCGCAUACGACCUACGGGUGAAAGCAGGGGAUCUUCGGACCUUGCGCGAUUGAAUGAGCCGAUGUCGGAUUAGCUAGUUGGCGGGGUAAAGGCCCACCAAGGCGACGAUCCGUAGCUGGUCUGAGAGGAUGGUCAGCGACACUGGAACUGAGACACGGUCCAGACUCCUACGGGAGGCAGCAGUGGGGAAUAUUGGACAAUGGGCGCAAGCCUGAUCCAGCCAGACCGCGUGGGUGAAGAAGGCGUUCGGGUUGUAAAGCCCUUUUGUUGGGAAAGAAAAGCAGCAGGUUAAUACCCCGCUGUUCUGACGGUACCCAAAGAAUAAGCACCGGCUAACUUCGUG
rnacentral:rRNA from 1 species